rnacentral:misc_RNA from 1 species
GGAAGUAAAAGUCUAACAAGGUCUCCGUUGGUGAACCAGCGGAGGGAUCAUUACCGAGUUUACAACUCCCAAACCCCUGUGAACUUAUACCUUUACUGUUGCUUCGGCGGGUCAUGCCCCGGGGAAACAGGCGGCCGUCAGGUCCCUGCCCACCCGGAAACAGGCGCCCGCCGGGGGACUCAAACUCUUCUGUAUUUUUUUGUUUACUGUAUACUGUCUGAGUAAAAAUUCACAAUGAAUCAAAACUUUCAACAACGGAUCUCUUGGUUCUG